GUUUUUUAAGUAUUGAGUUGAAGAUCAAUGUAACAAUUGUGCAAACCUGAUAAAAUACGUAACAACACUAUGAAUAUAAAUAUCGCGAUUAUUGACAAUAAAUUUAAUACUCAGUAAUCGGUCUUACUAGCAAGUCCUCGCAUCGUUAUUUCAUACGUAGAGACCAACUUAUUGUUAAAAAAAUGAUUUCUAUAACAAUGUCCAAGUUCACUAUUGUUUUAUUUUUGCUUACAUUGAUGGCGAUUGGCUCGUUUGCAUGCGUUGCACAUGGAGACGAUUGUAAUUCAGGUGAUGUAUGUUGUGAUGGCGAUCAUUGCAGAGCAAACUAUUUUGGCCGCAUGACAUGUGGAAGACGCUCAUAAACUACAGGAUUUUGGAGGUGACAUAUUCGGUGGUUACUAUGUCUACCUUUUAAUUUUUUUAUUUCAGUAUUAUAAUAUUUAUUAAUAUUGUAAUGGUUAUCAUCUGAAUAAAAAUAAUUCCCACCAUGAA